CCAACCUAGUCCGUUUCAGGAGAGCGGAAUGCGGUGCGAUACCGCAGCGGUCCCGCCACUGUGACCGGGGAUGAAAGCGGCAACAAGCCAUUGCCCGAGGAGCCAAAGGCCCUCCGGGUGAGAAGGCGCCGCCGGUAAGGCGAUCCGGAAGCCAGGAAACCCUCCUGAGAUGCAACCUUCGU
rfam:Spirochaetes bacterium GWB1_66_5 gwb1_scaffold_4078, whole genome shotgun sequence.